rnacentral:rRNA from 1 species
CUCGUAGGCGGCCAACUAAGUCGGACGUGAAAUCCCUCGGCUUAACCGGGGAACUGCGUCCGAUACUGGAUGGCUAGAGUGUGGGAGAGGGAUGCGGAAUUCCAGGUGUAGCGGUGAAAUGCGUAGAUAUCUGGAGGAACACCGGUGGCGAAGGCGGCAUCCUGGACCACGACUGACGCUGAGGAGCGAAAGCCAGGGGAGCAAACG